GGGCCGGUAGCUCAGCUGGUAGAGCAACGGACUUUUAAUCCGUAGGUCGGAGGUUCGAAUCCUCCCCGGCUCACCA
rnacentral:tRNA from 2 species